UACGUAGGGUGCAAGGCGUUGCCCGGUAUUUAUUGGGCGUAAAGGGCGCGUAGGCGGCUACGCACGUCCGUUGUGAAAUCGCCCGGCUCAACUGGGCGGGUCGGCGGAUACGGCGUGGCUGGAGCAAGCUAGGGGCAGUGGAAUUCCCGGUGUAGUGGUGGAAUGCGUAGAUAUCGGGAGGAACACCAGUGGCGAAGGCGGCUGCCUGGGGCUUUGCUGACGCUGAUGCGCGAAAGCGUGGGGAGCGAACAGG
rnacentral:rRNA from 1 species